rnacentral:lncRNA from 1 species
CAUUCAGUGGGACAGAUUAUGUUCUCAAGAAGAAUGUGCCAUUACCUGCCAUAAGUUGGUGUAUGUGUUUGGUCGCCUUGAUACUUCUCCUUCACCAUUCAAAUGUUCUUUUUCUGCCAACUCUUGGAUACAAAACUGGAAUUCAUUGGCCUGGUAUCUCUCCUGAUGCAUGAAUGAGCAGCAUAUGUGCCUUUUGCUCUUAGGCUGGACUGUAAUUUUCAACUGUGUAUAGAAGACCUCAUUUUUUUUCUCCAUUGCAACCAAACGGUUUAACACGGCUCUAGGAGGCUUUAUUUUUCUUGCAUCCAUGUCGGUUGCUUCUUUGUUGUAACUAAAUAUGUAUGAAUGCAGGGAUGAGCUCGCUUCUCUUUUGUGGUCUGUUAUUCGGGCAUGCAUCUGGCCAUCUGGUGCCGUUGAGGAUAAAUGAAAGAUUGCCAAGAUGGUGCUAGGAAUAUGCUGGCAGGAUGUAGUACUAUUUAUCAAAAAAUAAUCAUAUGUUAAACGUAUUUGAGCGAAGAGACGCUGCAAGCAAGGUCACUCUAUCUAACAUUAAUAUGUAAGAGACAUAUUGUUGUUGUGCUGGGAGAAAUCGCUACUUAUUGUUGACUUGUUGUACUCUGAUGAACAACUUCAUCAGCUAGUUUUAUAUGCUCUAGGGCCACUUUGGACUGUAUGGUUUUAAAGAAAUUGUACAAUUUCGAUUGAUAGGAAAUUUGUCCACAGGAAGCAGGCUGUUGGACUUCCAUAAAUGUGGAAUAGCUUGAGCUAUAUGAAUACUGGAAAAAAUUCGGACAUCCUCCAAAAUCCAUUUCUUGUGGAGAUCUGAAAAAUCCUUUUUUUUUACUGAAUUGAAAAAUCCUUUUU